AUGGACCAAUCCAUCCCUUUUUCCCGUGCAUAUGCAUCGGACUCGGAUGACGAUGGUCCCGAUGAAGAAGUUGAUGAGGAGGGGUUCACGCCGAAGGAGGCCGAAGCAUUCAAGAAGGUAUUCGGGCGGGAUCACAAGACACCAUUGUUCAAGGAUCUUAGUCUCGCGGAUAAAGCCGUUGUGGAUGGUGGCAAAUGCAUAUCUCUUGGAGCUAGGCCAAGUUCUCAC
rnacentral:rRNA from 1 species